AUUGAACGCUGGCGGCAGGCCUAACACAUGCAAGUCGAGCGGAGCGGCGGACGGGUGAGUAAUGCCUAGGAAUCUGCCUGGUAGAUGGGGAUAACGUCCGGUAACGGGAGCUAAUCUCGCAUACUACCUGAUGUGCCUAGGUCGGGUUAGCUAGUUGGUGGGGUAAAGGCAUACCAAGGCGACGAUCCGUAACUGGUCUGAGAGGAUGAUCAGGCACACUGGAACUGAGACACGGUCCAGACUCCUACGGGAGGCAGCAGUGUGGAAUAUUGGACAAUGGGCGAAAGCCUGAUCCAGCCAGGCCGCGUGUGUGAAGAAGGUCUUCGGAUUGUAAAGCACUUUAAGUUGGGAGGCGUUACCAACAGAAUAAGCACCGGCUAACUUCGUGCCAGCAGCCGCGGUAAUUC
rnacentral:rRNA from 1 species